GCGCCUUUCUUCUUCUUCUUCUUCUCUCUCGAUUGUCAUGAACUCUCCACCAGCAAAGCGACUUGACUCUGUUUCUGUUUCUGUUUCUGCACGAAAAAGGAAAACAUGAAAAUCAAAACCGCCCAACGCAUUUGUACAUACCACCCACCAAAGGCACAAGUUGGACAAGGAGUGAUUGUAGGGUUGUAAAAUGAUGACAUAGAGACACAACAGGUUGGGUAGCGAGACGCCAGCAACUGUGAGUGAGUUGAAAACUGUAGAUCGCACAAUCUUUGCUUGGCUGCAAGUGUAGCCUGGUCCUGGACCAAGCAAAGUGAAAUUCUUUGGUAGUCUGAUGGUUUUGUUGGAAGUUCCAGAGCGCCCAACACUCAGCUGGAAGGAAGAGACAGCAGCUGAAGGGUCUUGACCCCAUGAUGCCAC